rnacentral:rRNA from 1 species
UAACACUAACUGGAGGACCGAACCGACUAAUGUUGAAAAAUUAGCGGAUGACUUGUGGCUGGGGGUGAAAGGCCAAUCAAACCGGGAGAUAGCUGGUUCUCCCCGAAAGCUAUUUAGGUAGCGCCUCGUGAAUUCAUCUCCGGGGGUAGAGCACUGUUUCGGCAAGGGGGUCAUCCCGACUUACCAACCCGAUGCAAACUGCGAAUACCGGAGAAUGUUAUCACGGGAGACACACGGCGGGUGCUAACGUCCGUCGUGAAGAGGGAAACAACCCAGACCGCCAGCUAAGGUCCCAAAGUCAUGGUUAAGUGGGAAACGAUGUGGGAAGGCCCAGACAGCCAGGAUGUUGGCUUAGAAGCAGCCAUCAUUUAAAGAAAGCGUAAUAGCUCACUGGUCGAGUCGGCCUGCGCGGAAGAUGUAACGGGGCUAAACCAUGCACCGAAGCUGCGGCAGCGACGCUUAUGCGUUGUUGGGUAGGGGAGCGUUCUGUAAGCCUGUGAAGGUGGCCUGUGAGGGUUGCUGGAGGUAUCAGAAGUGCGAAUGCUGACAUAAGUAACGAUAAAGCGGGUGAAAAGCCCGCUCGCCGGAAGACCAAGGGUUCCUGUCCAACGUUAAUCGGGGCAGGGUGAGUCGACCCCUAAGGCGAGGCCGAAAGGCGUAGUCGAUGGGAAACAGGUUAAUAUUCCUGUACUUGGUGUUACUGCGAAGGGGGGACGGAGAAGGCUAUGUUGGCCGGGCGACGGUUGUCCCGGUUUAAGCGUGUAGGCUGGUUUUCCAGGCAAAUCCGGAAAAUCAAGGCUGAGGCGUGAUGACGAGGCACUACGGUGCUGAAGCGACAAAUGCCCUGCUUCCAGGAAAAGCCUCUAAGCAUCAGGUAACAUUAAAUCGUACCCCAAACCGACACAGGUGGUCAGGUAGAGAAUACCAAGGCGCUUGAGAGAACUCGGGUGAAGGAACUAGGCAAAAUGGUGCCGUAACUUCGGGAGAAGGCACGCUGAUAUGUAGGUGAAGCGACUUGCUCGUGGAGCUGAAAUCAGUCGAAGAUACCAGCUGGCUGCAACUGUUUAUUAAAAACACAGCACUGUGCAAACACGAAAGUGGACGUAUACGGUGUGACGCCUGCCCGGUGCCGGAAGGUUAAUUGAUGGGGUUAGCGGUAACGCGAAGCUCUUGAUCGAAGCCCCGGUAAACGGCGGCCGUAACUAUAACGGUCCUAAGGUAGCGAAAUUCCUUGUCGGGUAAGUUCCGACCUGCACGAAUGGCGUAAUGAUGGCCAGGCUGUCUCCACCCGAGACUCAGUGAAAUUGAACUCGCUGUGAAGAUGCAGUGUACCCGCGGCAAGACGGAAAGACCCCGUGAACCUUUACUAUAGCUUGACACUGAACAUUGAGCCUUGAUGUGUAGGAUAGGUGGGAGGCUUUGAAGUGUGGACGCCAGUCUGCAUGGAGCCGACCUUGAAAUACCACCCUUUAAUGUUUGAUGUUCUAACGUGGGCCCCUUACCGGGGUUGCGGACAGUGUCUGGUGGGUAGUUUGACUGGGGCGGUCUCCUCCUAAAGAGUAACGGAGGAGCACGAAGGUUGGCUAAUCCUGGUCGGACAUCAGGAGGUUAGUGCAAUGGCAUAAGCCAGCUUGACUGCGAGCGUGACGGCGCGAGCAGGUGCGAAAGCAGGUCAUAGUGAUCCGGUGGUUCUGAAUGGAAGGGCCAUCGCUCAACGGAUAAAAGGUACUCCGGGGAUAACAGGCUGAUACCGCCCAAGAGUUCAUAUCGACGGCGGUGUUUGGCACCUCGAUGUCGGCUCAUCACAUCCUGGGGCUGAAGUAGGUCCCAAGGGUAUGGCUGUUCGCCAUUUAAAGUGGUACGCGAGCUGGGUUUAGAACGUCGUGAGACAGUUCGGUCCCUAUCUGCCGUGGGCGCUGGAGAACUGAGGGGGGCUGCUCCUAGUACGAGAGGACCGGAGUGGACGCAUCACUGGUGUUCGGGUUGUCAUGCCAAUGGCACUGCCCGGUAGCUAAAUGCGGAAGAGAUAAGUGCUGAAAGCAUCUAAGCACGAAACUUGCCCCGAGAUGAGUUCUCCCUGA